rnacentral:tRNA from 1 species
GGGGAUGUAGCUCAGUUGGGAGAGCGCUACACUGGCAGUGUAGAGGCCAGGGGUUCGAAUCCCCUCAUCUCCACCA